UACAGAGGUCCCAAGCGUUGUUCGGAUUCACUGGGCGUAAAGGGUGCGUAGGUGGUUCGGUAAGUCGGAUGUGAAAUCUCCAGGCUCAACCUGGAGGGGUCAUUCGAUACUGCCGUGACUAGAGGUCGGUAGGGGAGUGUGGAAUUCCUGGUGGAGCGGUGAAAUGCGCAGAUAUCAGGAGGAACACCCGUAGCGAAGGCGGCACUCUGGGCCGAUACUGACACUGAGGAGCGAAAGCGUGGGGAGCGAACAGG
rnacentral:rRNA from 1 species